GACGUAGGGGGCGAGCGUUGUCCGGAUUUAUUGGGCGUAAAGAGCUCGUAGGCGGCUCAGAAAGUCGGGUGUGAAACCUCCAGGCUCAACCUGGAGACGCCACCUGAUACUGCUGUGGCUAGAGUCCGGUAGGGGAACACGGAAUUCCCGGUGUAGCGGUGAAAUGCGUAGAUAUCGUAAGGAAGACCAGUGGCGAAGGCGGGUCUCUGGACAGUUCCUGACGCUGAGGCACGAAGGUCAGGGGAGCAAACGGG
rnacentral:rRNA from 1 species